CUUCAAUGGCUUGUUUCACUAUUUCUCAAUGAUAUGGUGACAUUCUUACUGAUGUCUCUAGUAGGAUGCAGAGGUGACUGAGGAGAGGAGCAAAGUACUCAAAGCAUCAAAAAGACCUGACACCUGGACAUCAUAUGGCCUUGAGAAAG